rnacentral:rRNA from 1 species
GAACGCUGGCGGCACGCCUAACACAUGCAAGUCGAACGGAGUAACUUUUGGUUUACUGAGAGUUCUUAGUGGCGGACGGGUGAGUAACACGUGAGCAACCUGCCUCUGAGAGAGGGAUAGCUUCUGGAAACGGAUGGUAAUACCUCAUAAUAUAGCUUUAAGGCAUCUUAGAGCUAUCAAAGAUUUAUCACUCAGAGAUGGGCUCGCGUCUGAUUAGCUUGUUGGCGGGGUAACGGCCCACCAAGGCGACGAUCAGUAGCCGGUCUGAGAGGAUGAACGGCCACAUUGGAACUGAGACACGGUCCAAACUCCUACGGGAGGCAGCAGUGAGGAAUAUUGGUCAAUGGACGAGAGUCUGAACCAGCCAAGUAGCGUGCAGGAUGACGGCCCUAUGGGUUGUAAACUGCUUUUAUAAGGGAAUAAAGUGAGAGUCGUGACUCUUUUUGCAUGUACCUUAUGAAUAAGGACCGGCUAAUUCCGUG